rnacentral:sRNA from 1 species
CUGCCUGUCCUCCCAUCCUGCCCUGUCUAGGGAGCCAGAGCCACACCACGCAUGUUGACCCCUUGGCUGUCACUGUGGAUGAAGCCUUCUUCAGUGUGGUUUGUUUUGACAGGAAUACAUGCGCCACCUGCUCGCCCUGGAGCUUCGCGCUGAGGAGCAGUUCCUGGAGCACUGGCUGAACCCUCACUGCAAACCCCACUGUGACAGGAACAGGGUUCAUCCUGUGUAAGGGGAUCAGGACCAGCCUCGCAAGCAUUUUAAUAGACAACAAGCUGGAUAAUGUCGAAACAAGACAAGGCUGCUUCUUUCACUUGUUUUUAAAUUGCAGAAAUGGAUGUCUUCAGACCUCGUGAACUGUGGGCAUAUCAAAGAUUGCCUUGGAAAUGGCAAAUAUAUAUACUGCUUCAUUUUACUAACCUGCAUAAAUCACUAAAACCAAUAGCUUAAAGCAUAGACACCUCCCAAAGAUCUUCCCAUCAGUUUGCAAGAGUGGGAACAACCAGAAUCUUACCUGGGGUUGAUGGAGCUGGAACUCCCAGACCAGGAGUUGGGGCAGGCUGCCUGCCCUAAGGAAUUUGGGGAAUCCUUGUUCAGAGUAGUGAAGCAUACCACUUGGGGUUGCUGAGUUGUUUUGUCCUCUAUUUUUUUCCUCUUCUUUUCUGCCCUAAUAAACAUUGGUAUUAAAUUUA